UCCCCGCGUCAAUUCCGGAACUUUGGUCUGACCAGAGACCAAAUAUUUUUUUUUUGGCCUUAUCUCAGUAAGUGCCUUUAACACCUGAUGGAAACCCAUAUCCCAUCAUCUGCAAUGGUGACCAACUGUCGGUGGAGAGGAUGGUAGAGGCAAGGCUAGUACAAUCGUCGGCGUCCUCACCACUUGACAGGUUUUGUGGCCUCAAGCCUACGCCCCAAGAGUUCCACAAGAGAUGCAUCAUUCUUUAGAUGCAUAUGUGACAGUGAGGCAAAAUGAGGAAUGUCCCCCAAAACCUUAUUUUGAGUAAUCGAAAAAUACAGACAAAAGAGAAAAAUCUGAAGAACGUUUUUCACUGCCGUUGGCGGCGCAAUGCGUGUCUUUUUUUCAAAGCCGUGCAUAACCAACCUCGUCCCCAGUGCUUACUUUAUUUCAAACCUCUUUUCCAAUAGUAAGCCCCGGAUACACAUUGCUCAAUAAAAUUAAUUUAGUUAAGUAACCCUGGUUAUGUUAACACAAUAAAUACACUUUUGUGUAAUCGCAACUGACUCAAUGUUUAACCCCUUUCGUUGUUUAGGGAACGAUUGGUAUUGUUCCGAAAAGUGCGAGGCAACAACGAAGAAGACCAACAAGAAGCCGGACUUUCUUCGAGAGUAUAAGCGGGCUCUUGCGUGGCAUGAAAUGUUUCAACUGGUCCACAAUGAUGCAGAACGUGAAAAUGAUGGGCCGUUUCUUAUCCGACUGUGGAAGCUAUGCGUCCCUCUGUUUUGGUCUAGGGGCCAUAACAAGUACCUCAUACUAGGCCAUCGGUUAUUGGCAGGUGUAAAUGGCUGGCUCGAACCAAGAGUGAAACACGACAUCAUUUGGAAUCGAACAUCGAAUUUGAGAGGUGGUGCAGGCAACAACUUAGCAUUGGAUUUAGUAAAUGAGUUUGAAAAUCUAGAGUUCAAAAAGUAAGUAUUGAAAAAUGGUGUUGGAAGAAAAUCCGCGUAGCUUUACAUAAUUUUUUUAAUCAUCUAGGAAAAUGUGAUUUAUAAAUUAUGUUUCUAUAUCAAAUUAUAAUACAUGUACAUUAUUUGUGCUGUUUGUCCAAAGUCCGUUUAGAAUUGGGGAAGGAAAACUUAAUUCAGUAACGAUAUUUUUUUUAUAG
rnacentral:lncRNA from 1 species